GAGCGCGCGCGCGCGCGCGCGCAGGAGCAGGAGUGGGGGAGGGGCAAAGAGAGCGAGAGCGAGAAUCCCAAGCAGGCUCCACACCGUCCGCGCUGUCCUUGCUGUCCUUGCGGUCAGCGUAGAGCCCGACACGGGACUCAAACUCAUGAACUGUGAGAUCAUGACCUGAGCUGAAGCCGAGAGUUGGCAGUUUAACUGAUUCAGCCACCCAGGUGUCCCAGAAUGUAGAGAGAGCUUCUAAAACUCAACAGAAAUCAACGCAGCUUAAAAAUGAGCACAGGAUGUGAACAGACAUUUCUCCGAAGGAGAUACACAAACGACCAAUAACCACAUGAAAACAAGCUAAAAGCCAAAGAAUCUACGUUCCCGCUCCAAGGGGGAAGGAAGAGCGUUUGUCAUUCUCUGAGUUUCUCCUAGGCCCCCAAACACCCGAUAACAUCUAAGAAGAGCCAGAUCCCAAACAAGUUCUAGGACAUUAGCUUCAAACAAACCUCAGCCAAGAUUCUGGAGGAACACGUUCCCUGGACCCUCUUCCAAAUAACCCCCCAGCCCCAAGUGACGACAGGACUCAUUCUCCAUUCCUUUCCGAGUCUCCCAGACAUUCUGUCUGGUAUUUUCCCUCACACUUUUUGAUAAACUCUGUUUUCACUUUCUCUGGCUCGUGUUUGGUUUCUAUCCUGCGUGCAACCGAGGACCCUCUUGGCUGGUCCUGCAGGAUCCCACUCUGGGUCCUUGGACCUGGCCUGCCAGCAUCAAAAAGAUACUGAAUAUCACUACUCAUCGAGGAAUUGCAAAUCAAAACUGUGAGAUAUCACUUUGCACCUGCUAGGACGGCUAUUAUGAAAAAAAAGAAACUCAGAAAAAUAACAAGUAUUGUUGAGGAAGUAAAGAAAUUAGAGCUUUUGUACACAGCUGGUGGGAAUAUAAAAGGGGGCCAUCCUUAUGGAAAACAGAAAUGUAAUUCCUCAAAAAAUUAAACAGAGUAUUAUUAUAUGAUCCAGCAAUUCCACUACUGGGCAUAUCCUGCUCCCCUUCCAAAAAAGAAA